GGUUCGAGCCCUGGUCCGGGAAGAUCCCACAUGCCGUGGAGCAACUAAGCCCGUGUGCCACAACUAUUGAUCCUGCGCUCUAGAGCCCAUGAGCCACAACUACUGAGCCCACAUGCCACAACUACUGAAGCCCGCGCGCCUAGAGCCCAUGCUUCUCAACAAGAGAAGCCGCCGCAAUGAGAAACCCACGCACUGCAACAAAGAGUAGCCCCCGCUCGCCGCAACUAGAGAAAGCCCGUGCACAGCAACCAAGACCCAACACAGCCAUAAAUAAAUAAAUAAAUUUAUAUAUUAAAAAAAAGACUCAGAGAUAUAUCAACUAAUCACAACGUGUGGACUUAUUUAGAUCCUGACUCAGACAAACUAAAAUUUUUAAAAGUAAGACAUUAAUGGAGCAUUUGGAAAUCUGGAUAAUGACUGGAUAUUUGAUGAUCUUAAGGAAUUACUAUUAAUUCUUUUAGGUAUAAUAAUGUUAUUUUCAGAUGAAAUAUGAUGUGUGGGAUUUGCUUCAAUAUAAGCUGGAAAGGGCAGAAGUGAACAGGGAUGUGAAUGAAAAAAAAAAUGGCCAUGAGUUGAUAACUGUUGAAGUCGGAUGAUGGGUACACAGGAGUUCAUUAUACUAUUCCCUUUUGGGAUAUUUAAAAUGUCCCAUUUGACAUUUUCUUAAUGAAUCCUUGGGUAUCUUCGUCUGUUUCAAAUUUUCUAAAAGUAUAUAAAAAAAAUAAUUUGCUACACACAAAAUCCCAGGACACAAACCAGAACAACUGGACUGAGGCAGAUUUUAGUCUCUGCUGCCUUCUCUGUCCCACGCAGAGCCACCAGCUAACCCACCGGUCCCAAGCCUGUCCCACGAUGAUUUUUAUCUCAGGGACCUCAACAGCCUUCCCUGCCACUGGGUCUUUUUGGUGUUGUUUUAAUAAUUACUUUAUUGAGAUACAACUCACACAUCCCACGAUUCAUCCAUUGUAAGUGUUCAGUUCAAUGGUUUUUGGUCAAGUCACAAAAAUGUACAACCAUCACCAAGUUAGUUUCAGAACAUUCACAGCAUUUCACAUACACGCUCCCAAAGUUCUGAAUACCUUCAAGCCUUGGUCCUUUCUCUCCCAGAAGGUUUCUGCAACUUUCAUGCCAGUUUUCCUGCCAUGAUGCCAGUUCCCUGUCUCAUUUAUCCCCCGACACACACAGAGUAAGUGUCACGUCACUGGCCGCCCCACCGCAGAAUGGUGGCCUUCCAAGCCCAGGCUCAGCAUGAGAAGAGACCUGGAGGCAUGAAGCUGUGAGCACUUGGGGUGAACAGGAGACCUGAAGUCAUUCAGAGGUGAAAGAGGAAGCAGGGGAUGGAGAAAUCCAGGCGGGGCUGAGGAGACCACACCUGAGUGGACCCCUAGCACUGCAUGGGAUGCAGGUGCCCCUGCCCAGGAGGGGCGCCUCCCCCUCUGCCCUCCUCCCAGGCGGGAAAGCCAUCACCACCCCUUUCCUGUCCUCCCGCCCCACUCCUGAGGCCUGCAAAUCACACGAGCCACUAAGCCCGUCCAGUCACACCUUUCAAAGCAGUAGUUUCCUUUAUUCAAAGACAAGAGACGUUUCCACUGGGAGCAGACAGGCCAGGAGCCCUUUCUCCUUCCUGUCCUCCCUUCCCAGGGAAUCAAUCUUCUUAAACUUUAUUCUCCCAGAGACCAUCUGGAUGAAAACUGCUCAGGAAAUUCAGUCGGGUACUAAGCCCAGUGCUCUCAUCCAUCUUGCCCUGUCACAGCCCAGCGCUUUGGCCUUAAAGAAUCCUUACAGCUCAGGCUGCCACGGGCCUCCUGGCCACAGGAGCAAGCCCUGCCUGCACUCACAGCCACACCUUCCAGACAUCUCAGGGCCUGUAAACCACCUUGCAGUUUUGUCCAGCUCUCACCCUCUCUCUGGAGCCUUGGCCCACUCUGCAGUGCCACCCAAUUGUAAUGUCCAGAGAAGUAAUGUGGUACAGCGGGAAAAAUUCACAGAGGCACAGGGCUGGAAGCUUUCUCUGCUGUGUGACUUUGGCCAAGUGACCUGACCUCUCUGAGUCUCAGUAUCCCCAUCAGUAAAACUAUGGUUAAUAAUGCCCACCUUGGGGAACUGUGGUCGGGUUCAAAUGAGAUAAUGGACUUUAAAAUCACUUUCCUCCUCAUUUAUUCUGCUCUGGCUUUCUUGCUUUUUCCCAGACUCUCCAACCAUCCUCCCACCUCAGGGCCUUUGCCCUUGUUAUUCUCUAUACCUGGAAAGUAUCUUCCUGAAUAUCCAUAUGCAUAGGUCACUUCCGUCCGGUCUCAGCUCAAAAUGUUACCACAGGGCUUCCCUGGUGGCACAGUGGUUAAGAAUCCACCUGCCAAUGCAGGGGACAUGGGUUCGAGCCCUGGUCCAGGAGGAUCCCACACGCUACGGAGCAAUUAAUCCCGUAAGCCACACCUACUGAGCCUGCGCCCUAGAGCCCGCGAGCCACAACUACGAGCCCGCGAGCCACAACUACGAGCCCGCGUGCUGCAACUACUGAAGGCUGCACCCUAGAGCCCAUGGUCCACAAGAGAAGCCACCGCAACGAGAAGCCCGCACACUGCAAGGAAGAGUAGUUCCCGCUCACCGCAACUAGAGAAAGCCCCUGCGCAGCAAGGGAGACCCAACGCAGCCAAAAAUAAAAUAAAUAAAUAAAAUUUUAAAAAUAAAUAAAUAAAAUUAUAUAUUUAAAAAAUGUUACCAUGUCAGAGAGGCCUUCCUAGACAAGCCUAUCUAAAACAGACCCCAGGGAAGUGGGUAGGGCGAGGGCAGCCCACCCGACCCCCGGCUCACGGUCCUGUUCUCCCCACAGUUCGCCAUGGAUGACGAUAUUGCUGCACUCCUGGUCGACAGCGGCUCUGGCAUGUGCGAGGCCAGCUUCGCGGGCGACGAUGCUCCCCGGACUGUCUUCCCCUCCAUCGUGGGGGCACCCCGGCACCAGGGCGUGAUGGUAGGCAUGGGCCAGAAGGACUCCUACGUGGGUGAUGAGGCCCAGAGCAAGAGAGGCAUCCUGACUCUCAAGUACACCAUCGAGCAGGGCAUCGUCACCAACUGGGAGGACACGGAGAAGAUAUGGCACCACACCUUCUACAACGAGCUGCGUGUGGCCCCCGAGGAGCACCCCAUGCUGCUGAGGCCCCCCUGAACCCCAAGGCCAACCGUGAGAAGAUGACCCAGAUCAUGUUCAAGACCUUCAACACCCCAGCCAUGUACGUGGCCAUCCAGGCUGUGCUAUCCCUGUACACCUCUGGCUGCACCACUGGCAUUUUGAUGGACUCCAGUGACAGGGUCACCCACACGGUGCCCAUCUACUAGGGGUACGCCCUCCCCCCACGCCAUCCUGCGUCUGGACCUGGCUGGCGGGGACCUGACAGACUACCUCAUGAAGAUCCUCACAGAGCGUGGCUACAGCUUCACCAACACGGCCAAGUGGGAAUCGUUCGUGACAUCAAGGAGAAGUUCUGCUACGUCGCCCUGGACUUCAAGCAGGAGAUGGCCACCGCGUCUUCCAGCUCCUCCCUGGAGAAGAGCUACGAGCUGCCCGAUGGUCAGGUCAUCACCAUUGGCAACGGGCGGUUCCACUGCCCUGAGGGUCUCUUCCAGCCUUCCUUCCUGGGCAUGGAAUCCUGUGACAUCCACGAAACUACCUUCAAUUCCAUCGUGAAGUGUGACGUCGACAUCCGCAAGGACCUCUAUGCCAACCCGGUGCUAUCUGGUGGGACCACCUUGUACCCAGGCAUUGCCUACAGGAUGCAGAAGGAGAUCACCGCCCUGGCUCCCAGCACAAUGAAGAUCAAGAUCAUUGCUCCCCAUGAGCGCAAGUACUCCGUGUGGAUCGGCGGCUCCAUCCUGGCCUCGCUGUCCACCUUCCAGCAGAUGGGGAUCAGCAAACAGGAGUACCAUGAGUCUGGCCCCUCCAGCAUCCACCGCAAAUGCAGACUGUUAGUUGCUUUACACCCUCUUCUUGACAAAACCUAACUCGUGCAGAAAAUGAGAUGAGACUGGCAUGGCUUUAUCUGGUUGUUUUGUGUUUUUUUGCCCUUUUUGAUUGUGUGUGUGUGUGUGUGUGCGUGCGCGCUUGACUCAGGAUUUAAAAACUGGAACGGGGGGCUUCCCUGGUGGCGCAGUGGUUGCGCGUCCGCCUGCCGAUGCAGGGGAACCGG